GCCUUCGUGGUAUAACUGGAAGCACACUUGACUCGCAUUCGGGAGGUCAGGAGUUCGAAUCUCGGCGAGGACA
rnacentral:tRNA from 1 species